rnacentral:rRNA from 1 species
CGGACGGGUGAGUAACACGUGGAUAACCUACCUAUAAGACUGGGAUAACUUCGGGAAACCGGAGCUAAUACCGGAUAAUAUAUUGAACCGCAUGGUUCAAUAGUGAAAGACGGUUUUGCUGUCACUUAUAGAUGGAUCCGCGCCGCAUUAGCUAGUUGGUAAGGUAACGGCUUACCAAGGCAACGAUGCGUAGCUGACCUGAGAGGGUGAUCGGCCACACUGGAACUGAGACACGGUCCAGACUCCUACGGGAGGCAGCAGCC